AGGAAAAAGGGAAAAAAUUGUCUAAGAAAUUCUGCUAAUAACAUUAAGACAAGUUUUCAUUGAACAAAUAUUUGUUUCAAUGAAGAGUUCCGUGAAUACAAAAUGUACAGAUAAUAGAUUGGUCAAUCUAUGUGAGCCCCAACAUGGUACCUCAAGGAGAAUGCUUCAGUUUCUGUAUUGUUUUAUGCGAAUAAAAUGGCAGCCAUGAACAUUGACCAAGCAUACCCCAUGUACGUACAUUGAUGGUCCUAUAUUCAUAUACGUGACUCAUUUACGGUCAUUAGAUAGUGAGACGCUAAUCUUAGCUGUUAAUGGAGGAAAGGAAGAGCCUGACUAAUUUAGAGGAGGGUCUUGGAACAAACCGAGAAUGUAGACCAGUCGUGUGUUAAAAGAGUGAGGAUAUGGACCAUGAAUACUCACGUAACCAAUGAACCCUAUAACCAUAUCUUUGCCAGAUUCGACCUUAAAAGGUUAUCAUGGCUAUUGACGAUAACUGGUAAUAGCCUAGCUAUAGCACGCAACUUGUAUUCACCCAUGUCACUCUCACGAAAAAGGAAAAA
rnacentral:lncRNA from 1 species